CUCUUCGGGGAUGAUUAAACCGGCGCACGGGUGAGUAACACGUGAGUGACCUGCCUUUUAGACUGGAACAACUUACCGAAAGGUGAGCUAAUGCCGGAUGAGUUAUAUAAGUGCAUGUUUAUAUAGGAAAAGUUGGGGAGACCUGACGCUGAAAGAUGGACUCGCGUCCCAUUAGCUAGUUGGUAGGGUAAUGGCCUACCAAGGCGACGAUGGGUAGCCGGCCUGAGAGGGUGGCCGGCCACACUGGGACUGAGACACGGCCCAGACUCCUACGGGAGGCAGCAGUGGGGAAUUUUGCGCAAUGCUCGUAAGAGUGACGCAGCGACGCCGCGUGAAUGACGAAGGCCUUCGGGUCGUAAAGUUCUUUCGACAGGGAAGAAAAUGCCUAUAAGUAACUGUGUAUGUAUUGACGGUACCUGUAUAAGCAGCCCCGGCUAACUCCGUGCCAGCAGCCGCGGUAAUACGGAGGGGGCGAGCGUUGUUCGGAGUGACUGGGCGUAAAGAGCACGUAGGCGGUGUUGUAAGUCAUUAGUCAAAGACUAGAGCUCAACUUUAGUAAGGCUAGUGAUACUAUAAUA
rnacentral:rRNA from 1 species